CCUAAGGUAGCGAAAUUCCUUGUCAGGUAAGUUCUGACCCGCACGAAUGGCGUAACGAUUUGGGCACUGUCUCAACAGCCUACCCGGCGAAAUUGUAGUACCGGUGAAGAUGCCGGUUACCCGCAACUAGACGGAAAGACCCCAUGGAGCUUUACUGCAGCUUAAUACUGAGAUUCGGUAAUUCAUGUACAGGAUAGGUGGGAGACUUAGAAGCAGAGUCGUUAGGCGCUGUGGAGUCACCCUUGGGAUACCACCCUUGGAUUGCUGGGUUUCUAACCUGCGGCCAUGAAUCUGGUCGGGGGACACUGUUAGGCGGGCAGUUUGACUGGGGCGGUCGCCUCCUAAAGUGUAGCGGAGGCGCUCAAAGCUUGGCUCAGCAUGGAUGGAAAUCAUGCAAUGAGUGUAAACGUAUAAGCCAAGUUGACUGCGAGACCGACGGGUCGAGCAGGUACGAAAGUAGGAGUUAGUGAUCCGGUGGUAUGUGAGUGGAAAUGCCAUCGCUCAACGGAUAAAAGCUACCCUGGGGAUAACAGGCUGAUCUCCCCCAAGCGUCCACAGCGACGGGGAGGUUUGGCACCUCGAUGUCGGCUCGUCGCAUCCUGGGGCUGUAUUCGGUCCCAAGGGUUUGGCUGUUCGCCAAUUAAAGCGGCACGCGAGCUGGGUUCAGAACGUCGUGAGACAGUUCGGUCCCUAUCUGUUGCGGGCGUAAGAGAUUUGAAGGGAGCUGUCCUUAGUACGAGAGGACCGGGAUGGACUGACCGCUGGUGCACCAGUUGUUCUGCCAAGAGCAUAGCUGGGUAGCUACGUCGGGACGAGAUAAACGCUGAAGGCAUCUAAGCGUGAAACUCCCCCUAAGAUAAGAUCUCUCAUCCUUUAUGGAGUAAGGCUCGUCGUAGACUAUGACGUUGAUAGGUCAGAGGUGGAAGCGCCGUAAGGUGUGUAGCUGACUGAUACUAAUAAGCCGAGGGCUUGACCU
rnacentral:rRNA from 1 species